CGCUGAAUCAUGCCCAUGUGCUCUGUUCCUAUCGAGCAUUUGUGAAUGUCACUUGAUCAAAUAGUGCCAAGUGCAGAGCAGGCACAGAUAAUGAUUUUGACACAGUAUAAUUAUUGCAUUAUUUUAUUUUGUAAAGAACAUUUUCCCAAUGUGGUAAAAAAAAGAUUUAUUAAACUAAUGUUUAAAAAUCAGUACAAUGCUCUGUUCCUACUUUGCUUGUAGUAUUGAUAUGCUUAUCAAUUUCCCUCCAUGUCCAUAAAGCUUCUGGCCAAUGAGAUCACACAAAGCAGACAAAGCUGAGGACAUCAAAAGAAAAAGGCACACAGUUUCUUAUACCACACACGUGGUGCAAACAAACUGUGUGGAUACAAUUACUAGCCUGCUAGAAAGCACUGAGCAGAGCCUGCAGGAGCUGCAUCAUCAGGCCCAUCAUGACAUUUAACCUUCAUCAUAGCCUUCUGUUCCUGCUCCACCUCCUCAUCUGAAGGUG